GACGAACGCUGGCGGCGUGCUUAACACAUGCAAGUCGAACGAAGUGGCGAACGGGUGAGUAACGCGUAAUCAACCUGCCCUUCAGAGGGGGACAACAGUUGGAAACGACUGCUAAUACCGCAUACUGAAGGAGGGGAUUGCGGCUGAUUAGCUAGUUGGAGGGGUAACGGCACACCAAGGCGACGAUCAGUAGCCGGUCUUAGAGGAGCAGCGGCCACAUUGGGACUGAAACACGGCCAGGGCGUCUGCGCGUGGCAGCGGUGGGCAAGUUUCCGCAAUUGACAGAAGUCUGACGGAGCAACGGCGCGUGAGUGAUGACGGCCUACGGGUUGUAUUGCUCUGUUUUUCUGAACGCAGUACCGCAAUAGAAAGCCACGGCUAACUACGUGCCAGCCGCCGCGGUAAUAC
rnacentral:rRNA from 1 species